GACGAACGCUGGCGGCGUGCUUAACACAUGCAAGUCGAGCGGUAAGGCCCUUUCGGGGGUACACGAGCGGCGAACGGGUGAGUAACACGUGGGUGACCUGCCCUUAGCUCUGGGAUAAGCCUGGGAAACUGGGUCUAAUACCGGAUAUGACUCCAUGACGCAUGUUGUGGGGUGGAAAGCCUUGUGCGGCUAGGGAUGGGCCCGCGGCCUAUCAGCUUGUUGGUGGGGUGAUGGCCUACCAAGGCGACGACGGGUAGCCGGCCUGAGAGGGCGACCGGCCACACUGGGACUGAGACACGGCCCAGACUCCUACGGGAGGCAGCAGUGGGGAAUCUUGCGCAAUGGGCGAAAGCCUGACGCAGCGACGCCGCGUGGGGAGU
rnacentral:rRNA from 1 species